UCAUAUAUUAUUUUCUAUUGCUCUUUGUCGGUCAAACACGCAGAAGAGAUUCAGCUUCGCGAGUGUUCUCUAUUUUUCUGUUCUCUAUUUUUGUUUCUUUUUCUUCUCUUCUCCGUCACAUGAGCUCCCUCCUUUUGUUAGUGGACUUUCUCCUCAUCAUCAACUACUUGUUCAUGUGGAGUGGCUGAAACUUUCUUCCCCAUUUCUGCUCUGUUUUUGCGGCGGACGAAGGUGUGUGCGCACCUGCUCUGUUUUUAUCUUUUUCUUCUUCUUCGGCUAUUGUAAAGUUUGUGUGUGUGUGUGUGGUAGAUCAACUAUGUUGUUUGCUGGCUAGAUGUUGGUCUCCUUCCUCCUCGUGCGUUAUGGAAGCUUGAAGCUCUUCUUUGUUCCUUCUUUGCUAUCACUCUUGUUUUCUGUUCAGGUUUGGCUCCGUGUGUAUGUACGUGUGUGUAUCUAGCUUCACUUAUUCUUGUUUCUCAAGAUCUGAGCGUCUUGCAUAUGUGUAUGUAAUCUCAAAUCCUAUCCUUUCUUGGCCACGAUAGCUGGUCUUCUUCCUUAUCAUCCGAGCUGCAGAACAGAGCAUUUUCUUUCCUUCUUCAGCGUCGACUACAUAAUGGUUCUAAGCUGUCACCACUGCACUUUGGGUUGAGGAUGCUUGUAGGAGAUGUUAGCCCUGUGCACAGGCCAAUGCACGUGGAACGGAGGGAAGGAUAUUCGUGAGUGUUGUACUCACGCUUGUUUCGUGGGCUUUAUGCCUGUACUUGUUUCAUGG